rnacentral:rRNA from 1 species
CUACGGGGUGCAGCAGUGGGGAAUAUUGGACAAUGGGGGAAACCCUGAUCCAGCAAUGCCGCGUGUGUGAAGAAGGCCUGCGGGUUGUAAAGCACUUUCGGUUGGGAGGACUGCUUCUAGCACUAAUAUUGUUGGAAGUUGACGUUACCUUCAGAAGAAGCACCGGCUAACUCCGUGCCAGCAGCCGCGGUAAUACGGAGGGUGCAAGCGUAAUCGGAAUUACUGGGCGUAAAGCGCGCGUAGGCGGCUAGAUCAGUCGGGUGUGAAAGCCCCGGGCUUAACCUGGGAACUGCAUCCGAUACUGUCUAGCUUGAGUACAGGAGAGGAGAGUGGAAUUCCACAUGUAGCGGUGAUAUGCGUAGAUAUGUGGAGGAACACCAAUGGCGAAGGCAGCUCUCUGGCCUGAUACUGACGCUGAGGUGCGAAAGCGUGGGGAGCAAACAGGAUUAGAUACCCUAGUAGUC